rnacentral:rRNA from 1 species
CUACGGGAGGCAUCAGUGGGGAAUAUUGGACAAUGGGCGAAAGCCUGAUCCAGCCAUGCCGCGUGUGUGAAGAAGGCCUUCGGGUUGUAAAGCACUUUCAGUGGGGAAGAAAGCCUUGGGGCUAAUACCCUCGAGGAAGGACAUCACCCACAGAAGAAGCACCGGCUAACUCCGUGCCAGCAGCCGCGCUAAUACGGAGGGUGCGAGCGUUAAUCGGAAUUACUGGGCGUAAAGCGCGCGUAGGCGGUCUGAUAAGCCGGUUGUGAAAGCCCCGGGCUCAACCUGGGAACGGCAUCCGGAACUGUCAGGCUAGAGUGCAGGAGAGGAAGGUAGAAUUCCCGGUGUAGCGGUGAAAUGCGUAGAGAUCGGGAGGAAUACCAGUGGCGAAGGCGGCCUUCUGGACUGACACUGACGCUGAGGUGCGAAAGCGUGGGUAGCAAACAGGAUUAGAUACCCUGGUAGUC